rnacentral:rRNA from 1 species
UACGAAGGGGGCUAGCGUUGCUCGGAAUCACUGGGCGUAAAGGGCGCGUAGUCGGCUUUGCAAGUCGGGUGUGAAAUCCCCGGGCUCAACCUGGGAACUGCAUCCGAGACUGCAUUGCUAGAGUAUGGGAGAGGGAAGCGGAAUUUCUGGUGUAGCAGUGAAAUGCGUAGAUAUCAGAAGGAACAUCAGUGGCGAAGGCGGCUUCCUGGACCAAUACUGACGAUCAGGUGCGAAAGCGUGGGGAGCAAACAGG